rnacentral:rRNA from 1 species
GACAGAGGGUGCAAACGUUGUUCGGAAUUACUGGGCGUAAAGCGCGUGUAGGCGGCCCUGCAAGUCGGAUGUGAAAUCCCACGGCUCAACCGUGGAAGUGCAUUCGAAACUGCAGGGCUAGAGUCCUGGAGAGGAAGGUGGAAUGCUUGGUGUAGAGGUGAAAUUCGUAGAUAUCAAGCGGAACACCGGUGGCGAAGGCGGC